CUUCAGCAUCAGUCCUUCCAAUGACUAUUCAGGGUUGAUUUCCUUUAGGAUUGACUGGUCUGAUCUCCUUGGAGUCCAAGGGACAAAAAUGGCCAUAAUGUCAAUAAAUUAUUUUUAUAGUAACAGCUCCCCAAUGUAUAUCUGUAAACCUCCUGGUCCUCUUGUGUUUGUGACCUAACCACUUUAGCAUCUUCCACAGGUAUGUCAAAAGCACCUCAAAUUCAGUAUGUCUGUAGUAGAGAUGGCUAAUAUUUGUUCCCCUUUUUUCCUUACUACCCUAACUUUAUUUCAUUCAGGUGCAAUGUGCCUAGUUUGAAAACAAAAAAAGCUUAGACUACCCAACCUUCCUUAUUCCUAGGGAUACAGUGAGUAUCCUGGGAAGUCUGGGCAAGGCUUUCAGGAUAGCUAUUUAAGAGGAAGAGAGGGCAUUUAGCCUCUUUGCCCUUCCCCCUUUCUCUCCUGCCUGAAACUUGGAUGUGAGGAAAAAGAAAGACCCUCAACUAUCAAAAUGUAAAACUUUCAGCCCAUAUUUUACUUACUCUACAUUGUAGGCGAGUUGAACUCUUAACCAUUAAUAUCACUUUACAACAAAUGUGGCUUAACUGCUUGCCCAAUCAUAGUCUUUCCAAUUUGAGUAUGUUCUUAAGUUUGGGGGAAGCUGAUAAUUGUAGAUGAGAGUGCCCUCUGUUUAAAGGCUUCGUUGGGAGAGCCAGCAGCAACCACCAAGCAGGAAGAACGUAGAAUAAAAUGUAGAAUAAAAGGGGCCAAAUAGAGUAACUGAAAACCAUCCAUAACAUCUCUUGGGAGAUUAAUUUUGCUGCCAGAAUUCUUGUUUGGAAAGACAUCAGAUCAUUUUGAUGCUUAUUUUUAGGAAAAGGAUGGGAAGCCUGUAAAAUGUAUGACAGGAGCCUUACUCAGUGUUGUAAAUCUCUGAAAAGAAAAGCAUAAGUUUUGUAAUACUAGUCAGUUUUCUGAAAAGAGGGAACUUUUUAGCUAAGAAUUGGUGGGUAGAGCAUAAGGUAUAUAUUAUAACCUUGAAACCUAAGUGUGGCAAAGAGGUGUAAAGGUGAUAAACUCAUAGAAUUUCUAGAUUGGAAAUCCAACCCUGUAUCCAAUUCAUGAGUCCUUUGCCACUUAUCAUUUGCUUUGUUCUUGAACAGGGAAACUUUACCUCCAAAGUAAGUAUGCUCUGCUUCAUAAGUCUCAGCCACACUUUCAGACCAUCACUGUAGGUAGGGGGAUCAUGUUUACUUAGUGUCUUGUGUGAGCCUCAUGUUUGUGCACAUUUCAUGUCAGCCUGUGUUUUGAAAAUCCUUACAAGGUGUUUUUCAAAACUGAACUGGAUUCCAUAUUUAUUCUGACACUGAACUGAUUUUCUAAUGUAUGCUAUCUUGUAAGAGGAAACAGAAGUCUUAAAACAUCUUUUAAAAAAGUCUUUUAAACCUAAACAUUGAUCAUACCAUUUUAGAAAUUUCAGUUACUUAUGUUUAGGAAAUAACACAUUCAGAAAAGAUGCAGUGUUUCUUUGGUUGCUGGUAGACACAAGUGCUUUUAUCUCAUACGAGGCCAAGAAUAUUUUUAGGGGAAGGAGUGAGAGUGGGAGAGGGUGUGGACAAACAGAUCUAUAAAAACAGUGGCUUGAACUCUCAAGACACUUUAUGAUUCAGUAGCAAAGUCCGGGUAACCUGAACAUCCUGAAGCAGGUCUAACAGAUUCCCAGAAGAGAUGACCCACAGAAGAGCAGUUUUGUGCAUAUGUCAGUAGAGCUAGAAAAUUGCAAAACUUUGACUGCCAUAAAGUGAUUUUACUUUUUAGUUUCACAGAUUCUAAUUGAAAAGCUUUUCUGAAUAUUUAAUGAACAGAGCCAUGAAGCAACAUGUAUCUUGCCUCAGAUGCCACCACUGCUGGCUUUUCUUGAUUCCCGUCAGAUGAACUAUUGCUUCUGUAUACCAUUAGAUUGAAAAAUAGAUGCAUAACUGAAACAGCUAAACUAAAAAUAAAAAAAAACCAUAAAAUGCCCACUUUAAAGUUAACUUUUAAAUCCAACACAAGUUCUAAUUAAGUCUAUUAUAAUUGCUAUUUUUAGGAUUUUGAUCCUAGUCUUUCUCGUGUUUAAUCCCUGUAUUUGAUUCCAAUGAGUAGAAAACACUAAGUUCUAAAAUAAUGUCACUGGGUGUUAGUGAAAGAGGACAGAAAAAGAAGGUACAAAUCAGGUACCUGGAAACCUUGAAUACCAAGGCAUGAAACCUUGCCAGCAUAGAUGGACAAGUCCAAGUGCCAAGCAAAGAGGGUAAGCUCUCCUUGUAUAAUUCUUGUAACCUUGGGUCGAGUUCGUCCUGUAGUCUUUAUCUUGCCAUCUGAGUUUACAAACUCUACCAGCGUAGCUUGCCCAUUACCUUGAUAUGUGAAAAGUGUGAGUGAUAAAGACAUUCAGUGAUUUCUGUUUCUUCACAGUGGACUGUCAGUACAUGGGGAUCAAUAUUAGAGGUACACAGGUCCUCUUAAAUAUUGUUUGAUGAUGAUACCAAGUUAAGUGCUUCAGUAUAUCAUAGGAAAGCAAGCCUAAAAUAAUGCAGCAGCAGUAUAAAAUACAGGUAUGCUGUCAUGGGCUUCCCUGGUGGCUUAGAUAGUAAAGAAUCAGCCUCUAAUGUGGGAGACCUGGAUUCGAUCCCUGGGUUGGGAAGAUCCCCUGGAGAAGGGAAUGGCUACCCACUCCAGUAUUCAUGCCUAGAGAAUUCCAUGGACAGAGGAGCCUGGCAGGCUACAGUCCCUGGGAUCGCAAAAGGUUGGACACGAGUGGUAUGGUAUGCUUGUAAAUGAACAACUAACUCCAUUUGGAGAUUAAGUACCACUUUUGAUGCCCAAGGUAGAGGCAUUAAGCAGGAAAACAUAAAUACAUUAGUGGCAAAAGAUACAGAAUUUUUUGCAGAUGUAAAGAACAGUUUUAUUUUUAUUUAUGUGGGCAUGCUGAUGUCUUUGACCACUCUAAUUGAAAGCAUAAAUCAUAUUUACAUGAACUUACAUUGACUCUUCCCCCAGUUCGUGUUUAUAUUUAGUAACUUUUUAAAAAAAAAUUUUGCUAAUCAAUGAUCUUAUUAUUUUUUACAGCUUCUUUUUUUUUUUUUUACAGCUUCUUUAUUCCUUGAUAUAACUACCUCUUAAACUAGAGGUACUUCUCUUACUACUUGUUUAUAGAUGCCCUUCUUCAGUUUAUCUUCCAUUAUUAGAUAGUCUGCUCUUCCUUAUUUUCCAUGUGUUUUAAGUAUUUAGUUAGCGAAUACUUACAGGCUCUGAAGGCAAUCUGGCUGCAACAUCUGUCACUCCUUUAAUUGCCAAGGUUGUUUCAGCUGAUCUGACUAGCUCGGCAAGUGUCCACUUCCUACCUCGCCUCUCCGUGUGCAUCCCUCCCAAAGCUGCACACUCAGUCAAAGAGGACCACCUUCCCUAGUAAGGAAGACCAUUCAUUGGUCAGGGGUAUAUGAGUAGUUACACUCCCCUGCUAGAACCUCCAAAGCACCCACAUGGUGCCAAGCAGUAGACUUAAAUGCUAGGAAUAUAGCAAUAGACAAGGUGGACUUCACUCUGUAGUCACAAUUUCUGUUUCCAAAUAAGCUUUUCAUCAGUGCUUUGUUAUUCCAGACUCUCACUUCAUUUCUUACUAAUUUAUUUGUGUAACAAAUGACAGUAAGUAUCCAGUGUACCCAGCACUGUGUGAUAAUAUAAUUGAGAAGAUAAAUGUCAACAGUUAAAUUAUCACACUGUGGUUAAAAUAAUGCAAUAAUGGCAUGCACUGGAUACAGUGAAAAUGCAGAAGACAGAUCAUCAACUCUAGCUGGAGAAGUGAGGGAGAAAAUCCCAGAGAUGAUGAUAUUUGAGCUGAAUUUUUAAAAAUUAGAAGGCAAAAAGAUGGAAAAAGACUUGAGGCUGAGGAAAGAGCACUUAGAAGAAGACAUGAAAUAAUGACAUGUUUAAUGUGGUUUUCUUUGCAACAAGUGUUUUGUAAUUUGAGUAUAAGAAACAUGAAGUGCCUUAAAAGGAGAAGAGUCUCUACAGUGGAUGAGAGCCAGACUCUGAGCUGUGUUGCUCUUGACUGCCUUGGCAUGCUGAAGACUCACUGCAUGCAUUUUGUUAACUUAAGUGCUUAAUGAGGAAGCAUGGAAAAUGUUUAUCUGCGUCUCACUUCCUGCUAAUUUCUCCCAGGCUUCACCACGUCUUGCUUCCUAACUCUAUCUGAACACUUCUCCAUACCUUGCCUUUUAACUCUCCAUGUAAUAAUUAAAUGCUAUUUCAGUUAUCACAGCUUUUUUACAAACCAAAUAAUAUUAUGAAAAAUUUGACGUUCUAAAAUUAGAUUUAUAUUAGCUCUUACUAAAAUAUUUUGGAAUUUAAAAUACCACACUUUAUAUAACUAAUAUCUUUAUUUAGCGCUCCUGUUUAUAUUCCUUUUUAUGAUUAAUUAUGUUUUUUUCAAAAGCAUAAAAGUAUUUUGAAAGUAAAACAGUAAAGUUGUGAAAUGUUUUUAUAUUGGCUUCAAACAAAACUUACAUAGCGUCUUCUGUUUUUUAAAAAAUGUGUUUCUCUUGAAGAGAUUUCUGCAUAUACAGAGAUACAAAAGCAAGGGAAAGUAACUUAAAAUACUAUUAAACUAAAUAAAGCCAAUGAAACUCAUAUAGAAUCAAGUCAAUAUCUACCCAUUCUUGAACAGGAAAAUCUGAAAAUGGAAGGGGUGUGUAAGCCUUUCCUUAAUUUCGAGAAGCAUGUACUAAGGAUAUAUAUGCUUUUGUCAAACUCCAUUAUAGUCACUGGAAAUAUAAAAAUGAGAAAUACAGUCCAUACUCUCAGUGGAUUUGUUGUCAAGUAUUAAGUUGAACCACAUGAAAUUGCAUCUUUUUUAGGUCAAAAUGUUCAAAUAUCAGUUCAAUCUAAAUAUAUGUGUGUGUGUUACAUGUAUAUUAAAUAGAAAUUUACAAUAAUAGAGAUAUGAACAACAUGCCCUGAAAAAGUGCUUUGUGCUGCCCAGAACAGUCUGUGAAAGCUUUCCAGAGAUGACAUUUGAGCUGAAUUUCAGAAAAUGACUGGGAGUUCACUGUGUGUUCAUGUGAAGUGAAGAGAAUGAGCACAUUUAAUAGGAAACAGCCUGUGCAGAGUUGUUGAAUAGAGAAAGGGUCUAGCUCAUGCAAAUACUUCAGAUUGGUUGGAAUGCCAGGUAUGUGGUAGGUGACAGAGGAGGCAGGCUAAGUAAGCAGAGGGAAGAUGUUAGAAGGUAGGAGGUACCAAGCCAAAGAGAUGAUACUAUCCUUGAAAUUGGUGAGCUGUGUAUAAUCCACAGAAUGUGCAACACAACAUGUUAGGGUUCAUAAAGGAAAUACUAUUUAUAUUUUACCUGUCUUGUCUUUUCAAAUUUUCUAAUUUUAUAAGGACUACAGUGUAUAUAAUUCUUACUGCAGUACUGAAUGUAAAUAAUUUCUAAAUAAAUAAAUAUAUAUGUAUUAUGGUGUGUUAGAGGCUGAAUUGUGUCCCCCUCCCCACACACACAGAGAAUUUAUGUUGAAAUCCUAACCUCUAGUAUUUCAGAAUGUGACCUCAGUUGAAAAUAGAGUCAUUACUGAUGUAACUGGUCAAGAUGAGGUCAUAUUAGUGGCAGUCACUCAGUCGUGCGACUUUGCGACCCCGUGGACUGUAGCUAGUCACGCCUCUCUGUCCAUGGAAUUCUCCAGGCAAGAAUACUAAUGUGGAUAGCUGUUGCCUUCUCCAGGGAAUCUUCCCUACCCAGGGACUGAACCCGAGUCUCCUGCUUUGCGGCAGAUUCUUUACCACAUGAGCUACCAAGGGAAGCCUCCAUAUUACAGUAGAGUGGGCCCCUAAUUCACUUCGUUACAGCAACCCUAGAAAAUGAGUACACACUAUGUGAUCAGAAAGUUUAGAGGCUCUAUACACUACUGCAUAUAAAACAGGUAACUAAUGACAACUUACUAUAUAGAGCUUUCUCAGUAUUCUCCGUGGUACCCUAAAUGGGAAGGAAAUCCCAAAAAGGGCAGAUAUACAUGUAGCUGAUUCACUUUGCUGUACAGCAGAAACUAACACUUUGUGAAACAACUAUACUCCAAUAAAAAUUUAUUUAAAAAAAGUUUAGAGGCCUUGAUUAGAUUAUGAAAAGCAAUAGAAGAGUUGGUUUAUAUUUAAGAUUUCAAAUUAUUUAUGUCCUAUAAUUAUUCAGUCUCAGGAUUCAAUAAUUUACUUAUGUUGAAUUGAUUUAUUGACUUCCAGUACUUUACUUCUUUAAAACAUUAAACUUUGCAAAUAACUUUUUUUCAUUUGUGUUUGAUAUGCUGCUGCUGCUGCUGCUAAGUCGCUUCAGUCAUGUCCGACUCUGGGCAACCCCAGAGACGGCAGCCCACCAGGCUCCCCUGUCCCUGGGAUUGGUAUAGUUUAUGUUAAAGGCAGAAGGAAUUAGGAAAUACUUAACCUGUAGCUCAAAAUAGAUACGGUGAUAAUUUUGCAGCAGUUUUCGGGGAAAAAAUUAUAUUUAAGAAAAGUAUUUAAUCCCAUUAGGCAGAAGUGGAACUAAAAUCAGAAACAGGAUCCUACCAAAAGAAGUCAUAGCUGUGAAGAGUUUAAUACUAUAUCAUAAUUGCAAGGAGUAAUGCAGGUAAAACAUGCCUUAUUCUAGCUACAUAAUCUUCAAGUAUUAAGGACAACCAGUCCUUUUUAUAUAUGACAUAUGUUAGUCACUUGCCUGAGGUUCCAAAACACAGUUUUUAAGGUCAGGAAUGAUACCCUAAAUUCAAAUUACACAUUUGAAGCCUGUUUAUACGUCAGCAAGAUCCAAAAGUCAGCAAUACAUUGAUUAAUGAAUAUGUCAGUACAAAGUAGAUAUGUAUAUUUUAUUUUGGGCAUUUUAGAUCUUUAUGGGACAUGGAAUAUUUGAUAAUUUUUGGCCUUAUUUAUGCAAAUCAAUAGUAGCAGUUUAAAAUGCUACUUUUUAAAAAAAUCUGUAUCAUUGUAAUAGUUCUUCUGUCCUUUAGACAAGUAGUUUUCAGACUUUCUAAAAGAAUUCUUUCUCCAAAUGAAUUCUUAUGUGGAAGCCCAUUAUACAAUAAUUAUGCAGUUCACUCCAUCAAAGAAUACUUUAUAGACCCUUUUUUUUUUUUUUUUUUAAGAUUGGAGGGGUGUGGUGGAUCUUUGUUGCUGCACUACUUUUAUCGAGUUUCCUCUAGUUGCUAGGAGCAGGGUCUACUCUUUGUUGUGGUGUGCGAACUUACUGUGGUGACUUCUGUAGGGAAGCACGGGCUGUAAGCCACAGGCUUCAGUAGUUGCGGCUCAGGCUCUAGAACGCUGGCUCAUUAGUUGUAACGCAGGGACUUAAUUGCUUCCUGGCAUGUGGGAUCUUCCUGGGCCAGGGAUUGAACCCAUGUUCCUUGCAUUGCAAAGUGGAUGUUUAACCGCUGGACCACCAGGGUAGCGUGACUUUUGAUGUUUUAAAUCUUUGAUUCUUAUAUCUAGCCUGGAAGUUCUGUAUUUUGUGAAUGUAUGUUUUAUAGUCACUGUGUAACGUUAGAAGGAUGAAAAGGAAUUUACGUGAUAGGAAUAAAAAAAUACACUACUGACCUAUGAUCAUAGGGCCUAUACCUGAAGUUGCUUUCCCACAGGGCAUUUGGAAUAUAAGAAUAUAUCUAUUGUCUCUAAUGUGGUCCCCUGGUUUGUGACCAGCACAGCAGUCUGCAACCUGUAUCUACUUGGUCAAGGAUAUAAUGUCCUCUGUUCUCAUUAAGAGACUUCCCUUUCUCUGCGUUUACCCCAGUUCUUCUAACAAUUUUUGGUUUUGCUCUCUAUUCAUUUGACUAUACCUUUGCUACCUUUGGAUUCAAAAACCUGUUUGUCCAGUUGAGUAUCUUGUUAUUUUUUCCCUCACCCAUGACUUAUAAUUAUAUUGCUGUAAGCUGGUAAAUAUUUGAAACUAUGUAUACUUUUUAUAUGCUUACCUUGUUAUAAAAAUUAGCACCAUAUAGAAAGGGGAUAGCAUUGGAGACUCAGAAUUACAGUUUUUACAUUCAUAGCAUUUAUUAGACGGCUAAUUUUUUUAAGAUCAAGAUGUCAGGUGGUCAAUCUGAUAACACAUAAAUCACAAUUUAUUCUUUUAGCCAGUGCUUAUUGAACCCCUAUGAUAUGCUAACAGUCAUUAUGAAAAGUUUUAAGUAUAUUUGUUAUUUAGUCGCUAAGUCAUGUCCGACUCUUUUGCUAUCCUACGGACUGUACCUGCCAGGCUCUUCUGCCUGGUGAACUAAGUGAACAUGAUCCAGCUUUACAGGAUAGAUGUAUUACACACAAAGAAACCUCUGUAUACACACACACACACACACACACACACACACACAUACACACACACACACCCUGGUAUAAGCUAUGAAAGAAACAAAUGGAGUUCCACUGCACAAAUAGAGAAACUACUUUAAAUAGAACAGUCAGAAAAGGAACGGGAAGUGAAAAGAAAAGCAUUCUAGGCAGGGAAGAGCUUGGGCAAAGGCCCUUGAGAUGGGCUCAGGAGGGAGCUGGGCUUGUUCAAGCAACAAAAAGACAUUAAGUUUUAUGAGGAAAAGAUCUUUCUCUUUUGUCUAAAACUGUGUUUUAGGACUUCUCUGGGGUCGCAGUGGGUUAAGAAUCUGCCUGCCCGUGCAGGGGGCAUGAAUUCAGUCCCGGGUCUGAGAAGAUUCCACAUAGCAUGAAGCAGCUAACCCCAUGCACCACAACUACUGAGCCUGUGUGCCUCAGAUACGGAAGCCCACACACCCUAGAGCCCACACAGCACAGCUGCGGAGCCCACAUGCCUACAGCCUGUGCUCUGCCACAAGAAGAGCCCCUGCAGUGAGAAGGCUGCACACUGCAACAGAGGAGCCUCCACUCACCACUAGAGAAAGCCCAAGUGCAGCAACAAAGAAAAUAAAAUUUUUAAAAAAUAAUAUAGAAUAAUAUGUUUAAAAUUAAAUAAUAGGCACUGCAGAAAUACUUGUGUGUGACUGAAUAAAUGUCUGUAUACCUGUAAAUAAAUACCUGUAUAUAGGAUGUAAUGAGGACAGGCUGAAGUUCAAAAAGUAGGUAAGGACUAGACCUCACAAACCCUGUUUAAAAAAAAAAAAAAAUGGGGGAUCUGAUUUCAUAAAGCCUCACUCACAACCAUGUGAGGAAUUGUUUGCUGGGGAUUAAAAAUGGAAGAAGGGAAACCUGGAUUCAUGAGUGCAGCAGAGGUGGAGAAAGUAGACCAUAGAAAUCACUAACUGUAUGUUCGAGCCAGGCCAGUGGACCGAUCUUGCUUCUUCAGCAUCUUAGCAAAGGGAAUGUAUCUGAUUUCUCUUUUUAUCCCUAGAACUACCAUAGCCCCUCAACCCCCAGACCAAGCCUGGAAAGAAAGUAACCUUUUGAGAAUUUAAUCAAGCCCUUGAGGAAAGUAAUUUCAGAGUUUAUCCUAGGUCUUUGUAUUAUUGAGGAAGUGACUAUCUUAAAUGAAGUCACAAAGAAAAUGAAAAAUACAGAUUAUUCUACAAGAUAACAGACUUGGUCGUAUAAAAAAAGUCAAUACCAUGGAGAAAAAAGGCAGAGAAACAUGCUGGUUAUAUACUACAGUAUAGCAACUUACAGUGAAUAUCCCUUUUGAAGACAUUUUACCACAUGUACAGAAGCACAAAUGAGGGGAAAUUUUUUUUUUUAAAUAUUAUGCUCAAUAAAACCAUUCAACUUAAACUAAAAAAAAAAAAAAUUUUUUUUUUUUUUUUUUAAGAAGGCUUGCCUCUCUCAUACCUCCUCCGGCGUAAUUGUGAGGGGAUAGCUUCUAUUGUGAGGACUCUACCUCCAGUUCUAGGGGGUGAGUUGAGUCUAGGUACUUGCAGAGAAGUCUUUGGGAAGCUAAAGAGUGAUUGCUUGGUAGAGAACUCAGAAGGACAUUAAGACAAAACUCUCUUUUCCCCAGCGUAUACUGAAAAUAACCCUGAGUGUAGCUAUGAGUCUUAAUGGUUGUUUUAUAUAACAUUGAUCAGCACAUAGGUUCUCAAUGAAUGGAGAUUUGUUACCUCACAGAGGAGUCUGUUCUACUUUUGAAUUCCCCCUAAUUGUUAAGAAGUUAUUUCUUUUAACCAAACCAAACAUUUUCCCCAUGUUAUUCCCACCCUUGUAUGUAGUUUUACCCUCUAGAAUCUUGGCAAAUAAAGCUGAUUUCUUUUGUUGAUUUUAAUUUAAUUUGGCAUGGCUGCCUGGACCUCUUUUAAUCUGUAAGAGAAAAUGAAGCUGUAGCAAGAGUUAAAUUUAUUUGAUGCAGUAGACCAAAUUUUCCAUGUGGAGGCAAAUUUUGUCUUGGGAUGUGCCAGUCACUAAAGCCUUUUUAAUGAGGCAACUCAGUCUGUUCCUAUAAACUGUCAAUUUAUUCUCCUGGAUCUUAAAGGAACAUUAGCUCCAGGUGGGCAGGCCUCUUCUGGAAUAAUAAUAAUAACCAAAAUAAUUAAAAACCAGAUUACUGCCCUAGUCCCUUCCCGCUCCCCCAUUCCUAAGCCAUCUACAUAGCUAGUAGAGGAGUAUCAAGAUCAUCCUUCUGAGUUCUAGGGUACUCAUCCUUUCACUGGGCUUCCCUGCUGGUUCAGUUGAUAAAGAAUCUGCCUGCAGUGCAGGAGACAGAGGUUCAAUCCCUGGGUUGGGAAGAUCCCCUGGAGAAGGAAAUGGCAACCCACUCCAGCAUUCUUGCCUGAGAAAUCCCAUAGACAGAGGAGCUUGGCAGGCUACAGUCCAUGGGGUCACAGGAGCAGGACAUGACUUAGUGACUAAACUACCACAUACUGAGAUACUUCCAGGUUCUGCAGAAAGUGUGGCUGUCCCCUCGACCACACUCAGCUUUUCUCUACUGCACUGUUCCCUGCCCUGUUGUUUCAGUAGCUAACGUCUCCUCAAGUUUUCCUUCUCCUAGAAAUGUACUUUCUCAGACAUGUAUGAUGUCUAGCAUUCUCUUCAUACUGUUGUUUUACGAAUUUUUAUUAUCAUUGUGCUAUGGCCUCUUGAGGGGAAAGAGAUAAAUAUGCAUUAUCAGCUAAUUUGAAUCAGAAUUGUGGUUGAAGUCAUAUUUUAAUAUAAAUCAUACUCUAUAGAGAUUUUUGGCAUAUUAACAAUUCAGUGAUUUUUAGCAUAUUCACAAAGUUGUGUAACCAUCCCAACAAUCUAAUUGCAGAACAUUUUGAUCACACCAGAGAAGUCACAUACCAUUAGCAGUCACCUCCUAUUUCCUCUACUCUCCUGCCAGCCCUAAUCAAUCACUAAUCUACUUUCUGCCCAUAGAUUUGUCAUUAUUGCUGUUUGUAGAGGGGACAGUACAGACAGGGAGAAAGGUGAGCUCUGGUCUGAAGGGGAACUUCUACUUCUGAUCUCUGCUUAUCAGCCAUCACAAAAUUUGAAGUUAAAAAUCCCUGAUUCUUUGAAAAUUAAUUUCUCCAAAGGUAGUCACAUAUAGUACCCAUAAACAUAGGUAGGUAGGUAGAUACCUAAUCUUAUUUCAUAACUUUAAUCUUAUUUGGGGGGAAUGAGUGACCCUAGUGUGCACACACAUGCACACACACCCAUCUUGUCCUGAGUUGUAUUUCAAAGCCUUCUUGUUUGGACUGACAAUGUUGGACACCAUGGCUCAAACACUUUCCUCCAAUUCCCUAAUUCCUAGGUUUUUCAGAUCAGGCUGCCCUACCUGUAUCUUGCUGGUUUUAGGUAAGAUAUCCAAAUACUAGGUGAUGAUAAAAGGUGGGAGUCAGCAGAAUGAACCAUAGGGAAUGACUUAGAGAAAACACCCCUCUCUGCCUUGUGUACAACCAGAACAUGGAGAGAGAAAGAGGGGCAGCAGGUCAGUGAGGAAUGGCUCUUUAUUGGGUACUUUUUCUAGCCAGGGCAUGUGGGCCUCCCAGCACCUCUACCCCUCAGGAGUGGUUCUUUAUGAUGUAUCAGCUCCCCAGAGCCACCAUUGGCUGUCGGGAGUGUCCUGAUGACCAAAUAAAGCAGAACAGGUGUGACUCCUCAUUGUCCUGGGGAGAGGUAUAUAUACAGAGGGCAGGCCUGGCAGACAGGCAGACAACUGAGUGGCUUCAACAUGGCAAAAGUGACCGAUCAAUCUUGGGAGCCGAAAACCACAAGCACCAAGCGGUGGAAGAAAAGGAAGACCCUCUUUCAGCCUGGAUCAAGAGGCAAGGUGGUGAAGAUAUAUAAGAAGGUAAAAAGACCACUCCAUGUGUGUUCAAGAAAAAAAUACUCCCCAAAAGUUAUAACUACAAGAAGACAAAGGAGAACAAGAAGGGCCAAGCUUCAGCCAGUUCCAUAGGCUGAGCCAAAAGCAGCCAGGCCAGGCCUAACAGCCCCUGUAGAACGACACCACUCUGAGAUAAGACCUAAGCAAACAGCGCCUGCAGAGCAAGCUUCAGAGACCUGAGAACAAUCUGCUAUAUCGAGAGUCCUGGCUGCGGAGAAAUGGCCAACCGCGUAGACACUGGCUCAGACACUGAUGUGAAACAUGGGACACAAAUGCUGGUUAUUAAAAUCAGCAAAGUGUGAGAAGCCCCUCAAAAAAAAAACCACAAUAAAAUUAGGCACACUGCACAGAAAUGAA